rnacentral:tRNA from 1 species
GCGGAUGUAGCUCAGUUGGUAGAGCACAUGGUUGUGGUCCAUGUGGUCGUGGGUUCGAGUCCCAUCAUUCGCCCCA